rnacentral:rRNA from 1 species
GAUGAACGCUGGCGGCGUGCCUAAUACAUGCAAGUCGAGCGAACAGACGAGGAGCUUGCUCCUCUGACGUUAGCGGCGGACGGGUGAGUAACACGUGGAUAACCUACCUAUAAGACUGGGAUAACUUCGGGAAACCGGAGCUAAUACCGGAUAAUCUAUUGAACCGCAUGGUUCAAUAGUGAAAGACGGUUUUGCUGUCACUUAUAGAUGGAUCCGCGCCGCAUUAGCUAGUUGGUAAGGUAACGGCUUACCAAGGCAACGAUGCGUAGCCGACCUGAGAGGGUGAUCGGCCACACUGGAACUGAGACACGGUCCAGACUCCUACGGGAGGCAGCAGUAGGGAAUCUUCCGCAAUGGGCGAAAGCCUGACGGAGCAACGCCGCGUGAGUGAUGAAGGUCUUCGGAUCGUAAAAAUCUGUUAUUAGGGAAGAACAAAUGUGUAAGUAAAUAUGCACGUCUUGACGGUACCUAAUCAGAAAGCCACGGCUAACUACGUG